UACGUAGGGUGCGAGCGUUAAUCGGAAUUACUGGGCGUAAAGCGUGCGCAGGCGGUUCGUUAAGUUCGUUGUGAAAUCCCCGGGCUCAACCCGGGAACUGCGUCCGAUACUGGAAGGCUUGAAUCCGGGAGAGGGAUGCGGAAUUCCAGGUGUAGCGGUGAAAUGCGUAGAUAUCUGGAGGAACACCGGUGGCGAAGGCGGCAUCCUGGACCGGCAUUGACGCUGAGGCGCGAAAGCCAGGGGAGCAAACGGG
rnacentral:rRNA from 1 species